rnacentral:lncRNA from 1 species
UGCAAAUGAUAUUUCUAAUCAGAUGUUCAUCCAGAAAGUAAUUAACUUUAGGAAAGUAAAGGCCCUAGAGGCUUCUGAAAAGAUUUCCUUACUCUCAAUUCUCCCUGAGCAUUGCUUGAUAUUUGCCUCCCCCUGAGCUGUAGAGCCCAAAGGGAAGAUGAGAAGCAAGUCCUGCUGAUAUGGAUGCGGAUCACAUUUGCGUGACUCAGAGCUGUGGGGAGGCCAUCUGUUGAGAUGAGAACCUGUGAAGAUGGAAGGAACCUAGAUGUUUGAGUCAUGGGGUGGAGAAGAGACCAUGUAAACCUACAUUGAAAUUUGUGUGACUCCCUCCCCCUCAACCAGCUUAGAAGUCGGGUGGAAGAGGAAGCUGGAUGGAACAACAUGAGCCCUGGUCAGGGCAGACUUAAGCCAGGAGAUGAAGUGCCAUAUACAGAGAAAACCUCAGU